CACGGAACACAGAAAUCCAAGGGAAAGCCAGAAAUCCAAGGGAAAGCCUCCUGACAGGAACCGGCCUCAACUUUUCAUUUCCUCUCCCAAGCUGGAAACACUGGAGGUCGGCAAGUCCCCGGGCAGGAGCGCACGACCGGGCCUCAGCUCCUGGCACCCACCAUUCUGUUGGAGGUCUGUCUGAGUUGGACCCUUCUAGAUCUCUGAUAUCACUUGUUCCAGAGGAAGCCAGCCGCCAUGAUGUGAAGACACACAAAGGGCCCUACGAAGAGGACCACGUAGGGACAAUGACUUUCCAGGCAUGUGAGGGAGCCAUGUUGGAAGAUGACCCCAGCCUCCAUCAAGUCUUCAGAUGAAACUGCAGCCCCAGAUGACACCCCGAACCUCAUAAGAGACCCUGAGCCAGAACCAUCCAACUGAGCUGCCCCCAGAUUCCUCACCAUAGAAACUAGGUGAGAUAAUAAAUAAUUGUUUUAGACCACCAGAGAGUAAUCAAUUAUGCAGCAAUAUAGACCUGACACACGGUUCAUGAACAUAGGCUUUCUGUUGAAAUAAAACUCUUCUA